rnacentral:rRNA from 1 species
UACGUAGGCAGCGAGCGUUGUUCGGAGUUACUGGGCGUAAAGGGUGUGUAGGCGGUUCUCUAAGUUUGGUGUGAAAUCUCCCGGCUCAACCGGGAGGGUGCGCCGAAAACUGGAGGGCUAGAGUGCGGGAAGGGAGAGUAGAAUUCCUGGUGUAGCGGUGAAAUGCGUAGAUAUCAGGAGGAAUACCGGUGGUGUAGACGGCUCUCUGGACCGCGACUGACGCUGAGACACGAAAGCGUAGGUAGCAAACAGG